rnacentral:rRNA from 1 species
GAAUGCUGACAUAAGUAACGAUAAAGCGGGUGAAAAGCCCGCUCGCCGGAAGACCAAGGGUUCCUGUCCAACGUUAAUCGGGGCAGGGUGAGUCGACCCCUAAGGCGAGGCCGAAAGGCGUAGUCGAUGGGAAACGGGUUAAUAUUCCCGUACUUGGUGUUACUGCGAAGGGGGGACGGAGAAGGCUAUGUUGGCCGGGCGACGGUUGUCCCGGUUUAAGCGUGUAGGUGUGUGUUCCAGGUAAAUCCGGUUCACUUUAACACUGAGGCGUGACGACGAGGCACUACGGUGCUGAAGCAACAAAUGCCCUGCUUCCAGGAAAAGCCUCUAAGCAUCAGGUAACAUCAAAUCGUACCCCAAACCGACACAGGUGGUCAGGUAGAGAAUACCAAGGCGCUUGAGAGAACUCGGGUGAAGGAACUAGGCAAAAUGGUGCCGUAACUUCGGGAGAAGGCACGCUGACACGUAGGUGAAGUGAUUUACUCAUGGAGCUGAAGUCAGUCGAAGAUACCAGCUGGCUGCAACUGUUUAUUAAAAACACAGCACUGUGCAAACACGAAAGUGGACGUAUACGGUGUGACGCCUGCCCGGUGCCGGAAGGUUAAUUGAUGGGGUCAG